CGUACCGAAGUCCGGGAUGGAAGAUGGCGAGAAAAGCUGUGUGUAUUUCUGCGGUGCCCGUACCGCAAACCGACACAGGUAGGUAGGAAGAAGAUUCUAAGGCCAACGGGAGAAGGGUUGUUAAGGAACUCGGCAAAUUGACCCCGUAACUUCGGGAGAAGGGGUGCUCUAGAGAUAGAGCCGCAGAGAAUCGGCCCAAGCAACUGUUUACCAAAAACACAGGUUUGUGCUAAAUCGAAAGAUGACGUAUACGAGCUGACGCCUGCCCGGUGCUGGAAGGUUAAGAGGAGAUGUGCAAGCAUUGAAUCGAAGCCCCAGUGAACGGCGGCCGUAACUAUAACGGUCCUAAGGUAGCGAAAUUCCUUGUCAGGUAAGUUCUGACCCGCAUGAAAGGCGUAAUGAUUUGGGCACUGUCUCGACAGCCCGCCCGGCGAAAUUGUAGUACCGGUGAAGAUGCCGGUUACCCGCGACAAGACGGAAAGACCCCAUGGAGCUUUACUGUAGCCUAAUAUUGGGUUUCGAUGUUGCAUGCACAGGAUAGAUGGGACACUGGGAAGCAAGUGCUUUGGCAUUUGUGGAGUGGCCGUUGGGAUACCAUCCUUGCGAUAUUGGAAUUCUAACCUGCGCCUUUGAAUCAAGGCGGGGGACAUUGUUAGGUGGGCAGUUUGACUGGGGCGGUCGCCUCCUAAAGAGUAACGGAGGCGUUCAAAGGUUCGCUCAGCUUGAACGGAAAUCAAGCAAAAGAGUGCAAACGCAGAAGCGAGCCUAACUGCGAGACUGACGGGUCGAGCAGUAACGAAAGUUGGAGUUAGUGAUCCGGUGGUAUGUGAGUGGAAAUGCCAUCGCUCAACGGAUAAAAGUUACCCUGGGGAUAACAGGCUGAUCUCCCCCAAGAGUCCACAUCGACGGGGAGGUUUGGCACCUCGAUGUCGGCUCAUCGCAUCCUGGGGCUGUAUUCGGUCCCAAGGGUUUGGCUGUUCGCCAAUUAAAGCGGUACGCGAGCUGGGUUCAGAACGUCGUGAGACAGUUCGGUCCCUAUCUGUCGUGGGCGCAGGAUAUUUGAUGGGAGCUGUUCCUAGUACGAGAGGACCGGAGCGGACGUACCUCUGGCGCACCAGUUGUUCUGCCAAGGGCAUAGCUGGGCAACUAUGUACGGAUCGGAUAAACGCUGAAAGCAUCUAAGCGUGAAGCCGACCCAAAGAUAAGAUAUCCCAUUGUUUCAAACAAGUAAGACCCCUUGAAGACUACAAGGUUGAUAGGCAUGAUGUGUAAGUGGAGUGAUCCAUUCAGCAAGCAUGUACUAAUAGGUCGAGGGCUUGACCAA
rnacentral:rRNA from 1 species